GAUGAACGCUGGCGGCGUGCUUAACACAUGCAAGUCGAACGGUGAAGCAGAGCUUGCUCUGUGGAUCAGUGGCGAACGGGUGAGUAACACGUGAGCAACCUGCCCCUGACUCUGGGAUAAGCGCUGGAAACGGCGUCUAAUACUGGAUACGAACCGCGACCGCAUGGUCAGUGGUUGGAAAGAUUUUUUGGUUGGGGAUGGGCUCGCGGCCUAUCAGCUUGUUGGUGAGGUAAUGGCUCACCAAGGCGUCGACGGGUAGCCGGCCUGAGAGGGUGACCGGCCACACUGGGACUGAGACACGGCCCAGACUCCUACGGGAGGCAGCAGUGGGGAAUAUUGCACAAUGGGCGCAAGCCUGAUGCAGCAACGCCGCGUGAGGGAUGACGGCCUUCAGGUUGUAAACCUCUUUUAGUAGGGAAGAAGCGAAAGUGACGGUACCUGCAGAAAAAGCACCGGCUAACUACGUGCCAGCCGCCGCGGUAA
rnacentral:rRNA from 1 species